CCUACGGGAGGCAGCAGUCGAGAAUCAUUCACAAUGGGGGAAACCCUGAUGGUGCGACGCCGCGUGGGGGAAUGAAGGUCUUCGGAUUGUAAACCCCUGUCAUGUGGGAGCAAAUUAAAAAGAUAGUACCACAAGAGGAAGAGACGGCUAACUCUGUGCCAGCAGCCGCGGUAAUACAGAGGUCUCAAGCGUUGUUCGGAAUCACUGGGCGUAAAGCGUGCGUAGGCUGUUUCGUAAGUCGUGUGUGAAAGGCGGGGGCUCAACCCGCGGACGGCACAUGAUACUGAGAGACUAGAGUAAUGGAGGGGGAACCGGAAUUCUCGGUGUAGCAGUGAAAUGCGUAGAGAGCGAGAGGAACACUCGUGGCGAAGGCGGGUUCCUGGACAUUAACUGACGCUGAGGCACGAAGGCCAGGGGAGCGAAAGGGAUUAGAUACCCGAGUAGUC
rnacentral:rRNA from 1 species